rnacentral:lncRNA from 12 species
CACAGAAUGUGGUGGUGUUGUGAUGAAGCUGAGGCCUCCACUUGAUCUUACUAUAACAGCUCUCAUUCUGCAGGGCAAGGAGCCAGUGUGAGGAUUCCACCAGCUAGAUCCACUGGGAUUAGACAUCCAGAAAAUGACCACCAGGUGGUGUUUUGGAUCCCCUGGCCUCACUAGCAGCCAGAUCUGGGCCAGGAUGUUAUUACCUGGCCUGCAUGUCCUUAAGUAAUAGCGGGGGCUGUAACAGCGUUUGGGGCCUUUUAGUAUCAACAAUAGAUGAGAUCCUAUAUGCAAAAGCUUUGAAAAUAACUGACACUUUUGCCAGCCUUCCUUUACUUGAUAAUUGGCCACGGAUUCCCUUUUACAAUUUGCUUUAGCAUCACAGAGACCCAUCCUCAUGCUUUAUUCUUCUCCUUCCAUCAGUGGGCCCUGGCUCUGAGAGGUCACUUGGGACUGGAAACUGAUCAAGCAAGGGCUUGUGAUUGUUUCUGCUCGGGAAAUGACAACCUAUUGACAAUGACAACCUAAUGACAACCUAGCUAUUAAUAAACUUCUUGGUUUUCCCAUCUAUGUUGCCCCUAUAUUUAUUAGUCAUGGAUCUCCAUGGAUCACAGUCCCUUGGUUAGCAAUCUGGGCUUGCUGCCAGCUACAGUAAUUCCAUCAGACUUGAAUUUUUUUUUUUUUCUUUUAGAUAGUCUCCACAUCCAGCAUGGAGCCCAAAGUGGGGCUUGAACCCAUGACCCUGCGAUUAAGACCUGAGCUGAGAUCAAGAGUCAGAUGCCUAACUGAAUCAGCUACUCACGCACCCCUCAUCAGAGCUGAAUCUUAUGCCCCACCUAGGUCAUGUGUGAUCAGAAAGACACGAACUUUUCAUAUGGACUCAAUUGUUGAGCAGAGAAUGUGUCUGAAAGCUCUAAAGAAUUGCAUUUGGGCUUGUCUGGAAUCUUGAAGCAGGACUAUGACAACAAUGAAUACUGGGACCGUUUCACAAUGCAGAAAGUAUCUACAUGUAGAGUAGAUACUCUGAACUUCUGGAUCUUGGAGUUUUUUUUCUAAUAGGCGUUAUGGCAGGUAUGUUAUGCUUUUAUUAGUCCACUCUACUUUGCUGUGUGGAAGUUUCCUUGAACUCAACUGAGAAGCUCAGAUUCUCUAUCUGCAUUCUUUUUAGAAAGGGAACUAAACUCGCAAUCCUCAAAUGAAAGUUUUAAGCAUCAGGAAUUUAGCCUUUCUUCUAAAUAAAUGCCUUUGCUUCUUUAGCUUUUGGAAGAAA